GGUUUCUUGUAAGUAUAGGAGAUUUAACCUGCCCACUGAAAUUUAUUUGAAGGGCCGCGGUAUUUUGACUGUGCGAAGGUAGCAUAAUCAUUAGUCUUUUAAUUGGAGGCUGGUAUGAAUGGUUGGACGAGGUGAAUACUGUUUUAUAAUAAUUUAGUAUUGAAGUUGGGAUUUAAGUAAAAAAACUUAAAUAAUGUUAAGGGACGAGAAGACCCUAUAGAGUUUAAUAAAUAUUUAUGGUAGUAAGGUUAUGAAGUUUGUAUUUAUUAUAGUAAAUAUUUAUUUGGUUGGGGCGAUUGGAGGAUAAAAGAAACUCUUCUUUAUUUUGAAUAUUUAUAAGUAGAUUUAAGAUCCAUUAAUUAAAGUAGUGAUUGAAAGAUAAAAUUACCUUAGGGAUAACAGCAUAAUUUUUUUUGAGAGUUCUUAUCAAGAAAGAAGAUUGUGACCUCGAUGUUGGAUUAAGAUGAAGGUUGGGUGUAGCUGUUCAACAAAUUAGGUCUGUUCGACCUUUAAAAUCUUACA
rnacentral:rRNA from 1 species